CGGCCCACGCGUACGACCCGUUUUCACGGCCUUGAAACGUAACUGCAUUUCGAAAAAGAAAACAAAAGAAACGAAGCGCACGAAGUGCACGAAUCGGGAAAUCGUAACUCCUACGAACCUAUCUUCUCUCCUGCUACGAAACCCUUCAUCGUCACUUCUGCAAGUUGCACCGUUUUCGUCACUUAUGCAAGUUGCACCGUUUUCGUCGCUUCAUAAUUCCAUAACCGUCUCGCCAUCUCUUCAACCCGUCCCAGCUGCCGCAACUACCACCGUAGCGGUUCAGGUAGCCGUUAUUACCAAAUCGUCGCUGUACCCUAAUUCUUCGUCAACCAGUUCUCUCACACGAAUGUUUUCACUUUUAAAUAAUGGAAGAAAUAGUUGCAUCUUCCGAUAAAAAGGAAAUAAAGGAAGGAAAUAAAAGAUGUGAUGAUAGUUUAGUGGCAAUUGUUGCUUGUGAUGAAGAUGAAAAACCUAGAACUGGAAUGACAUUUGGUUCCGAAGAAGAUGUUACUCGAUAUUACACUAAUUAUGCUAAACGUAUGGGUUUUGGAGUUGGGAAAAUAAGUUCAAAAAAUGGUGAUGAUGGAAGGAAAUACUUUACUCUAGCAUGUAAUUGUGCAAGAAAGUAUGUGAGCACUUCAAAGAAUCCUUCAAAGCAAUAUCUUACCUCGAAAACACAAUGUAGAGCUAGGUUGAAUGCGUGUAUAGCUUUAGAUGGAACAAUUACCGUUUCAAGAGUUGUUCUUGAACAUAAUCACGAACUUGGCCAAACCAAAGGACGGUAUUUUAGAUUGGACAAGAAUUUGGGGCCUCGUGUAGAGAAGAAUUUAGAACUUAGUGAUCAAGCUGCAGUCAAUGUUAGCAGAAGUCUUCAAUUUGUGGGUGUUGAAACGAAUGGGUGUGAGAAUUUUACUUUUGGGGAAAAAGAUUGUAGAAACCAUGUACACAAAGUAAGGCGGCUAAAACUUGGGAGAGGAGAUGUUGAUGCAGUUCAUAGCUUUUUUUUUAGAAUGCAAAAGAAAAAUAGUCAAUUUUAUUAUGCAAUUGAUAUGGAUGAUAAAAGGAAUUUACAAAAUUUAUUUUGGGCAGAUGCGAGGUGUAGGGCUGCAGAUGAGUAUUUUGGUGAAGUCAUAACUUUUGACACCACUUAUUUUAGAAAUAAGUAUGACUUGCCAUUGGCCCUUUUCGUUGGAGUGAACCAUCAUGGCCAGUCUAUUUUGUUGGGGUGUGCAAUAUUGUCGAACGUGGAUACUAAAACUCUUACUUGGUUGUUCACAAGAUGGUUGGAAUGUAUGCAUGGACAUGCUCCAAAUGGAAUAAUUACUGAUGAUGAUAAAGCAAUGAAAAAUGCAAUUGAGGUUGCCUUUCCAAAAGCUCGUCAUCGAUGGUGCUUGUGGCAUAUAAUACAAAAGAUCCCAGAAAUGUUAGGUAGACGCUCUUGUUACGAGUCUAUCAAAACACUUAUGCAUGAUGUGGUAUAUGAUUCUCAAAGCAAAAGUGAUUUCAUGGAGAGGUGGGGAAAUAUGAUAGAACAUUACAAACUACAUGAUAAUGAAUGGCUAAAAGAGUUAUUUGAUGAGCGGUAUCGUUGGGUUCCCGUGUAUGUGAAAGACACGUUUUGGGCUGGACUGUCAACUACACAAAGGAAGGAAAGUAUAUACUCAUUUUUUGAUGGUUACGUAAGUUCAAACACAACGUUGAAGCAAUUUGUUGAACAAUAUGAUGAUGUAUUGAAUGAUAAAAUUGAAAAGGAAAGCAUGACUGAUUUUGAUUCAUUUAACACAACAAUUGCAUGUGUAAGUCAUUUUGGCUUUGAGGUUCAAUUUCAAAAAGCAUUCACCAAUGCAAAAUUCAAAGAAUUUCAAGUAGAAGUUUCUUCUAUGAUGUAUUGUAAUACUAGUUUUGAGAGAUUGGAGGACUUGAAUUCAAUAUUCUCUGUUACUGAAAAUAAGAAAGUAAACGAGAAAAUUAAAGAUAUGGUGUUUAAGGUAUCUUUCUAUGAAAAAGACUUCAAAUUGCAGUGUACAUGUCGCUUAUUUGAGUUUAAAGGAAUUUUAUGUAGACACAUUCUUUGUGUGCUUAAGCUCAUUGGCAAAACUGAUUCAGUGCCACCUUAUUAUAUCUUGUCACGGUGGAGGAAGUAUGUAAAGCGGAGAUAUACAUUGAUUAAACGUGGCUUUGAAGAAUUGCAACGUGUUAAUAAAGCAUGUGAUGCCUUUUACGAAGUUGCUUCUACAAGCAUAAACUCUGAAGAAGAUUUACUGAAAAUGAUGAAUUGGAUCAAGGACUUGAAAAAUGUAUUAACUUGUAAAGGGCCAUCCUCCAGGAUUAUAGAAGAAAAUAGUUCAAUUCCAAACCAUGUAACUAGGAUUCUUGACUCAGCCGUAUGUCAGAGUAAUGGGUGUCCUCCUUCAAAAAGGAAGACAUCUGACAUUGAUCAAAUUUUGAAGAAGAAGCUUGCAAGAAAUAAAACUCAAAAGAACAACCAGGAAAACAAAAAGGGUCAAAGUCAAGAAGAGGGCUUGUGUACACCUAUUGUUCAAGAAGUUGAAGAACAUAUUGGCGAUAUAAGCCAGGUUUUAUAUUGUACUCAAACCAUAAGCCAGAAUGGGUCCUGUUCUGAACCUGUACUGGUAUUGAUUAUAUCUUUUCUGGUAACGUGGUCAAACUUUGAUAUGAAAUCUGUAAUUUUUUUGGCCAUGUGUUUUUUUACAGGCACAACACAAUAGGAAUGAUCAACUAUCAUCAUAAAGACAUAGAUCAGCCGCUACUCUGAGCAUGAUAAUUAUAGUUGUUCCUUGUUAAAAGAAGUGGGUUGCUUUUGCAAAUAUUUAGAUAUUUCUUAUACCAUUUAAAUAGUUGAACACAGGUUAGGGAAACGGAGAACCAUCAUCCCAACUAGGCGUGCUUGCUUGGCAAUGUUCUCUUGCUUCGGAUCAUGUUCUAUGUACAUGUCUUGUUCAGGUGUUGAAUAAUCAAACUUGAUAUGGAUUGGUUCUGAUGAUGUUUCUGUUUGAGACUUGUGAUGUGGUUUGGUUUGGACAAUACUAGUCUUGGGAUUUGAUGAUGGAUAAUUUGAACCAUUGGGGAUUUGUUUGUGUUCUUGAUUGAUGCUUGAGAUUCUUUGAAUUGCUUGGAGAGCAGGAUUGCUUGCAAAGACAUGACGGAUUUUGGUGCACACAGAAGAAUUUGAUGAACUGUUGUUGUUUUCCAUAGAAUUG